GGUUGCUUGGCAUGUCCAAACUUUUGCCUGGUACUAUAUAUACCACAGACUGACACACUACAUGACGUGUUUGCAAAUUGAUCACUAACAGAAAUCGCCCAGGUGAACGAUGGAACAACACUGCAAGUGAAGUUCAACUGAAAUAAGGGAAACAACAUCGGAGAUAUAUUUCUGUACAGUAGAAAGUCACCUGUAACGUCGAGCUAACAGGAUGCUCCUGAGAAUUGCUUGCAUGAUAAUGGCCCUACUGGAGUGGAGUGAGUCACAAGUGCAUGCAGUCGUACACCGAAGCUGAUUUAAUGACCCAGAGACGUGCGUACAGUACA